CACCCGGUGCCCCCUUCCCCUGCCCACCAUGAGUCCUCAGCCUCACGCCUUCGCCCUCCUCCUCCUCCUCCUGGCCGCCGUCCCAGGGCUGCGGGCGGCCGAGACGUUGGACGAGUCCGGAGGGGGCCUCGUGAAGCCCGGGGGGUCCCUGACCCUGGUCUGCAAGGCCUCCGGCUUCACCUUCGGCGACUACUACAUGGGAUGGAUGCGACAGGCACCUGGGAAGGCGCUCGAAUACGUCGCGAGUAUUUACAGCGAUGGUAGUUACACAGACUACGCGUCGGCGGUGAAGGGACGCUUCACCAUCUCCAGGAACAACGGGCAGAGCACGCUCACCCUGCAGAUGAACAGCCUCAAGGCCGAGGACACUGCCACCUACUACUGCGCGAAAGAAGCUGGUAGUGGUUGGUGUGGUGGUAGUGCUGGUGGUGUUGAUGGCUGAC